rnacentral:misc_RNA from 1 species
GACGUAGGGUGCAAGCGUUGUCCGGAUUUACUGGGCGUAAAGAGCGCGUAGGCGGUCUGUUAAGUGAGAAGUGAAAGCUCCGGGCUCAACUCGGAAAUUGCUUUUCAUACUGGCAGGCUGGAGUGAUGCAGAGGUUUGUGGAAUUCCUGGUGUAGCGGUGAAAUGCGUUGAUAUCAGGAGGAACACCCAUGGCGAAGGCAGCAAACUGGGCAUUAACUGACGCUGAGGCGCGAAAGCGUGGGUAGCAAACAGG